GACGAACGCUGGCGGCGUGCCUAAUACAUGCAAGUUGAGCGCUGAAGGUUGGUACUUGUACCAACUGGAUGAGCAGCGCACGGGUGAGUAACGCGUGGGGAAUCUGCCUUUGAGCGGGGGACAACAUUUGGAAACGAAUGCUAAUACCGCAUAAAAACUUUAAACACAAGUUUUAAGUUUGAAAGAUGCAAUUGCAUCACUCAAAGAUGAUCCCGCGUUGUAUUAGCUAGUUGGUGAGGUAAAGGCUCACCAAGGCGAUGAUACAUAGCCGACCUGAGAGGGUGAUCGGCCACAUUGGGACUGAGACACGGCCCAAACUCCUACGGGAGGCAGCAGUAGGGAAUCUUCGGAAAUGGACGAAAGUCUGACCAAGCAACGCCGCGUGAGUGAAGAAGGUUUUCGGAUCGUAAAACUCUGUUGGUAGAGAAGAACGUUGGUGAGAGUGGAAAGCUCAUCAAGUGACGGUAACUACCCAGAAAGGGACGGCUAACUACGU
rnacentral:rRNA from 1 species